rnacentral:tRNA from 1 species
GGUGGCUCAGUUGUAGAGCACUUGCCUUGCAUGCAUGAGGCCCUGGGUUCGAUUCCCCAGCACCA